AGCGGAAUUGACAAAUGUAUGUCAAUAUUGACGAAGUUGAAAUUUUAAUUGAAACAAAUGACAGUUUAAAUUUGAUGUUUAGUAGAAAUGUCUGAUAGAGAAUCUGUGUGCACGUUAACUGGAGGAGACGAUGACAUUCCCAGAAAUGGGGGAGACUUUUUUGAUAACCACGUCUCCGGUAAUAUUAUAGACAACAGUUUCAGGAACAAAUGUCUUGCUUUGUUGAUGGAAAGAGGGCCUGACACGAAGAGCAAAUUGAUCUCGCUCCGGAAUGGCAUUUUAGAUUUUUUGAUCGUCACUCCAAUUUGCAUGUUACUCUGGGGCAUUGGAUAUGCUAUUAAAAAAAAUGUUUAUUGAUAUACUUUCAUGUAGAAUAAAAUU